rnacentral:tRNA from 1 species
UGGCUCAGUGGUAGAGUGCUUGUCUUGCAGGCAUGAGGCCCUGGGUUCAAUUCCUUG